rnacentral:rRNA from 1 species
UUAGAGUUUGAUCCUGGCUCAGGACGAACUCUAGCUACAGGCUUAACACAUGCAAGUCGAGGGGCAGCACUAGGUAGCAAUACUGAGGUGGCGACCGGCGCACGGGUGCGUAACGCGUAUCCAACCUUCCCGUUACUCUUGGAUAGCCUUCCGAAAGGGAGAUUAAUACAGGAUGGUAUUCAAAUUCCGCAUGUUAUUUGAAUUAAAGAUUUAUCGGUAACGGAUGGGGAUGCGUGACAUUAGAUAGUAGGCGGGGUAACGGCCCACCUAGUCUACGAUGUCUAGGGGUUCUGAGAGGAAGGUCCCCCACACUGGAACUGAGACACGGUCCAGACUCCUACGGGAGGCAGCAGUGAGGAAUAUUGGUCAAUGGUCGGAAGACUGAACCAGCCAAGUAGCGUGAAGGAUGAAGGUUCUAUGGAUUGUAAACUUCUUUUAUACGGGAAUAAAGCCCGCUACGUGUAGCGGUUUGUAUGUACCGUAUGAAUAAGCAUCGGCUAACUCCGUGCCAGCAGCCGCGGUAAUACGGAGGAUGCGAGCGUUAUCCGGAUUUAUUGGGUUUAAAGGGAGCGUAGACGGGAUGUUAAGUCAGUUGUGAAAGGCUGCGGCUCAACCGCAGCACUGCAGUUGAUACUGGCAGGCUUGAAUGCGGAUGCCGUGGGAGGAAUGUGUGGUGUAGCGGUGAAAUGCAUAGAUAUCACACAGAACACCGAUUGCGAAGGCAUCUCACGAAUCCGCUAUUGACGCUGAUGCACGAAAGCGUGGGGAUCAAACAGGAUUAGAUACCCUGGUAGUCCACGCUGUAAACGAUGAUGACUAACCGUCGGCGAUACACAGUCGGUGGCCAAGCGAAAGCGAUAAGUCAUCCACCUGGGGAGUACGACCGCAAGGUUGAAACUCAAAGGAAUUGACGGGGGCCCGCACAAGCGGAGGAACAUGUGGUUUAAUUCGAUGAUACGCGAGGGACCUUACCCGGGCUCGAACGGCAGCUGAAUCAUUCAGAGAUGGAUGAGUCUUCGGACAGUUGUCGAGGUGCUGCAUGGUUGUCGUCAGCUCGUGCCGUGAGGUGUCAGGUUAAGUCCUAUAACGAGCGCAACCCCUACACAUAGUUACCAACACGUUAAGGUGGGGACUCUAUGUGGACUGCCGGCGCAAGCUGAGAGGAAGGUGGGGAUGACGUCAAAUCAGCACGGCCCUUACGUCUAGGGCGACACACGUGCUACAAUGGCAGGUACAGAGGGCAGCUACACAGCGAUGUGAUGCGAAUCUCGAAAGCCUGUCUCAGUUCGGAUUGGAGUCUGCAACCCGACUCCAUGAAGUUGGAUUCGCUAGUAAUCGCAGAUCAGCCAUGCUGCGGUGAAUACGUUCCCGGGCCUUGCACACACCGCCCGUCA